rnacentral:ncRNA from 1 species
UGAAGAAUAUUAGAUUUUCUUAAUGUUCUGUACAUAAUCCAGCAACUCGGCAACAGGAAGUUGCCGAGAACGAGACCUGAGCCAUGGAUGGCGAAUGUCUCGUGUUUGCGUCGAGUUAUAUAAGCUGCAAUCAGAACAUUUAGAAAAUCUUAUAUUCGUAA